rnacentral:rRNA from 1 species
ACGGGGUGCAGCAGGCGCGAAAACUUUACAAUGCGAGAAAUCGUGAUAAGGGAACCCCGAGUGCCCGUAAAUUCGGGCUGUCCAUCAGUGUAAAUAACUGGUGAAGAAAGGGCCGGGCGAGACCGGUGCCAGCCGCCGCGGUAAUACCGGCGGCUCGAGUGGUGGCCGCUAUUACUGGGCUUAAAGCGUCCGUAGCUUGAUUGUUAAGUCUCCCGGGAAAUCCACCGGCUCAACCGAUGGGCGUUCAGGAGAUACUGGCAACCUAGGGACCGGGAGAGGUGAGAGGUACUCCAGGGGUAGGAGUGAAAUCCUGUAAUCCUUGGGGGACCACCUGUGGCGAAGGCGUCUCACUAGAACGGCUCCGACAGUGAGGGACGAAAGCUGGGGGAGCAAACCGGAUUAGAUACCCGGGUAGUCCCAGCCGUAAACGAUGCGCGUUAGGUGUAUCGGUGACCACGAGUCACCGAGGUGCCGAAGGGAAACCGUGAAACGUGCCGCCUGGGGAGUACGGUCGCAAGGCUGAAACUUAAAGGAAUUGGCGGGGGAGCAC